CAGUGGAGGACGAUGACAGGUGGAAGAAUUUUAGACCAUUUCUUUUUAAAGAAUACAUUUGAGAUCUGUUCCAUAACAAUAACCACUUUACUGAGCCUUUUAAUUUGAUAUUCUUUUAAGUUUUUGUCCCCUGUUGUGAUGGAGCUGUUGGUCACACAAUAAAGUAAUGGUACGGAUAGUAAAACACAACUUAAGAGACAAAAACAAACAGGAAAUGGCUUAAGUAAUAUCAGGAAAAAUAAAAGGUGUUAAUAUUCUGACAAACAAACCUUAGUGUUUACGUACAGUCCACAGGGACAGGAAAUAAAAUGACUGUUGAUAUUGACAUUGUUUCUA